rnacentral:rRNA from 1 species
CCCAACACACCAGAAGAGUUUGACACACCUGAUCCCUCGAUCUCGGAAGUUAAGCAACCUGCAGUCCGGUCAGUACUUGGAUGGGAGACCACCCAAGGACAACCGGAUGCUGUAGUCU